AGAGAGAGGAGAGGAAACGAGGACGAAGCAAGUCCAGACUGAGUCCAGACCAAGUCUAGACCAAGAUCAGACAAUGAGAAGAAAGGAGACAGCCUGAACUGUGAACUCGCUCACUGAAAAGAGAGGAGAGGAGACGAGGACAACACUAGUCCAGAUUGAGUCCAGACCAAGUUCCGACAAGAGAAAAGAGGAGACAGCCUGAACUGUGAACUCACUCACUGAAAAGAGAGGAGAGGAGACGAGGACAACACUAGUCCAGACUGAGUCCAGACCAAGAUCGACAAGAGAAGAGAGGAGACAGCCUGAACUGUGAACUCGCUCAUUUUAAAGGGAAAAUGCACAUUUAUUUGAUGUUAUCAGAAUUCCUACUAUGAUCAAUAGUUCUCCUCCUUCAGCCUUUUUGCUAAAGUUAUUAACUGUUAUUCUUUUUUCUGCAUUUGUCUUUCACUGAGAGGAGAGGAAACGAGGACGACACUACUCCAGACUGAGUCCAGAGUGAGUCCAGACCAAGACCAGACGACAUGAGACAAGGAGACCGCAUAAAUGAAAAGGAGGACGAGCGAGACGUCUCCUCAUCUGCAGCAGCAUCACAGACAGUUUAUUGUCUCGAACAUCUUCCUGUCUGUCAUCAAGAAGACCAAAAUCAACACUGAAUUUAUUCUUCUGACAUGUGGCUGUGUAGUCCCAUGAUGAACAUCAUUAAUGUUUGUGUUCAACCUGCUUUUUGUCCUUAAUAAAUAAAACAUAUUCACUGGACAAGGUAAA